UACGUAGGAGGCGAGCGUUAUCCGGAUUUACUGGGCGUAAAGCGCGUGUAGGCGGCUUUUUAAGUUGGCAGUGAAAGGUUCCGGCUCAACUGGGAUUUGCCUGUCAAUACUGGGGAGCUUGAGGGCACCAGAGGAAAGUGGAACUCGCGGUGUAGCGGUGAAAUGUGUAGAUAUCGCGAGGAACACCAGUGGCGAAGGCGGCUUUCUGGGGUGUUCCUGACGCUGAGGCGCGAAAGCGUGGGGAGCGAAGCGGAUUAGAAACCCUAGUAGUCC
rnacentral:rRNA from 1 species